rnacentral:lncRNA from 1 species
UAUAUCAUGAUGAUAGCUCUUUUAUAGAUGAGUUUGAUCACCGAGGUCGUUGGAAGAGAGAGCCUAUCACCUUGACCUUUGCAGUACUCAUGGGACUGGGGAUAGCGGCUGGAGUUGGUACGGGGGCCGCUGCAUUAAUUCAGACCCCCCAAUAUUAUGAGGAAUUACGAGCAGCUAUGGAUACUGACCUUAGAUCCAUAGAACAAUCUAUAACUAAACUAGAAGAGUCUUUAACCUCCCUGUCUGAAGUGGUACUACAGAAUAGAAGGGGACUAGAUUUAUUAUUCCUCAAAGAAGGGGGACUCUGUGCUGCUCUAAAAGAAGAAUGUUGUUUUUAUGUUGAUCAUUCUGGAGUGAUCAAGGAUUCGAUGGCUAAACUUAGAGAGCGCUUAGAUAUACGGAAAAAGGAAAGAGAA